UCUGUCACCACGCUAGCGCUCACACAGCCAGAAAAAAAACGAGGAAAAACAGAAGAGAGAAGGAGAAAAUAAAAUGGUGGAACAACAAAACUCAUCAUCGUUGACCUGUGCUGCCGCUUGAAGACAUGCAAGCUACUUUCUUUCUUUCUUUCUUUUUUUUUUAAAAAAAAAAAUCAAAUCCGUGAAUUCUCUUAUUCAGCAGCCAGACUCACACGCGCAAUUGCGAGGUCAGACGCGCACACAUCCAAGGAGUCACCGCGAGGAACGCGCUAUUAUAAGAGUUAAGGGCGAUAAAUCAAGUGGAGAUGGGGCCGAGGACGGCGGGGCAGGAGGAGAGGGCUGCACGGAGCAUCGACAAUGAGCCCACACCAGAGGGAGUGCUCCGACUGUACGCGUCCCGCGCCGGGAGAGAGGAUCUGCUCGCCGGAUCUUCUGAAGUGAAGCGCCGCCUGAAAACGCUGAAAAGCGCAAAGUGGCGGAUGAGCGAGGUGGGCACUUUCUGUCUGCGGCAGGAGGAGAGAAAGGUGGAGAGAAGGAGAGAGGGGAGCAAGAAAUUGAGGUUGAGAGAUGACCUCUGCUCCACCAACUGUGCCGUUGCCUGGCGUGUGGCCAAGCCUGGAUGCUCGCUGCACCUACUUCCACAAAGGAGAAAGCGUCAUACUAUGACUGCUCCCGCUGAUGCAUAUUUAUACUCACAUUGUAAACCUUGCACAAUAGUUCAGUGAGCAUAACAGUUGGCAUCGUUUACGCAGUGAUACUGAUGUGAUAAUUGUGGCAUCUGUGAUUGGGAGGUGAAUAAUUCUGGCAGCCGCGGUAAACCGUGUGUCUGUCUGCGUGUCUGUGUGCGUGUGUGUGUGUGUGCCUGUAGGUGUGCCAGGCCCCCACCAUAGGUACCCACGGAGAUCUCCGGACUGAAAUAUUCAUUCUUGUUGGCUUGCCCAGACAGUGUGGUCCUAAUUGCAGCAUCAGAAAGCUCCACCUCUCUCUCUGUGUCUGGCUUGGCUGCGGCGAAGAUGAACCUCAUCUGGGAGCAGGAUGCUUCUGCUCUGGAGUUUUUCAUCAGUUCCCGUGCCAACCCUACCCAUGCCUGGCCAAGCUGAACCAUCUUGUGGGAUUUUUGGCUUUUAAUUAUAGUAAGAGAGGAUUAAUUAUGGCAGUGGAAACAAGGGGCCAUGCAUUAUUGAUGCUAUGAGUGAAGGGCUGGAGGGGGUAGAGGGUGCUAAUUAAAUCACUGCCCCACUGCCAUGUCCUCCUCUGUCUCUGCCUUCACCAUGUCUCCCACCUGCUACAUCUCCAGCACCCCUCCGCCCCUCUCUCCUCCUCACUACCACCCACACAUAUAUCGUUACUCUUAGUUGUAUUGUAAUCAUUUUUACCUCUCUGCCUUCUCUUCCCUUCCCCACAAAAUCCCUACAAGAAAGUUUUAAAAACGGUCCACCUCCCUCGUCUGAUCGCGUUCCCUUUUCAGGAAUCUCACAGAAGUUCAGCUUUUCCUACACCCUCUGAGUCAUGUCCCAGAAAAUGUUCACUCUGUUUCAAUUAUAUCUCCUCCAGCGCGCUCCCGCAUUCAGAUGAGAGUGAUUUAUCCAUCUCUUCAAUGCCUCUCUGUCGUGACAAGCCAUCAUCUUAAACGAGCUCCUCAGUUUCAAUUUCAACCCCCAUUAGGGAAGUCCUCUCAGCUCAACAUGAGAGGAGUGGUUUUGGGAGCCAACAGUAACAAAAGGCUGCCAUCUACUGGAAUUUUGUCAUAAUUGUCACCUGCUUAAAGUACCCUCUGUAUUGUCAAAGAAUAAAAAAAUGACAGAAACUCCGUUUAACUGAUGCAAGAAGUGAAAUCAUACCACAUAAAUGAAAUUCUUGAAAUGUAAAGUUUUAUUUUCUCACUUUCAAAGGGGAAGACAGGUGGGAAUGUAAUAUUUUAUUAAAGGCAGAAUAUUUCAGCCGUGAGUGAGUGCUUGCAUCACACAUGAGGUUUACAGUGGUCCCUUUCCAUGCUAAAUGCAGACAAAGAGAUACCAUGCAGUGUUCUGCUGGGAAACCUUUGGUCCAGGCUUUCAUGUGGAUCUAGCUUAGACACGUACCACGAUGACAGCCCUCGCCCAGGCUGCUAACGCUGCUAUGCACGUUGGUGACGUAACAGUCUGUCUUUUCCCGAGGUGAUCAGCUCAUGACAUCAAUUUGAUCAGGAGCACCUGGGCCCAGGCUCACUGUCUCGCUCCUCACCAGUGCCGACAUGUUUAUUGUCUUUUGGCUGUUUAUUUAUUUCUACCCUACAACACUGCAGCCACAGCGUAUAGAGUUUUGAGAAAGUAUUAGUAAUAACUGUCACAAAGUUUGCUACUUCACUUUUCGAUCUUUGGUCAAAUGUUGGUGGAUGGUAUACUGAAGUAUAAUCACAAGCAUUCCGUAAGUGACAAAGGCUUUUAUUUACAGUUACAUUAAAUUUAUGCAAAGAGUCAAUAUUUGCAAUGUUGACCCUUCUUUUUCAAGACCUCUGCAGUUCACCCAUGCUGUCAACUAACUUCUGGGCCACAUCCUGACUGAGCUCAUUCUUGCAUAACCAAUGCUUGGAGUUUGUCUAAUAGCAAGGUGCUCCACCAUGCUGCAAAAGGCAUUAUUAGUCACCAAACUGUUCUUGAUUGGUUGGGAGAAGUUGCUCUCAGAGGACGUUUUGGUGCCAUUCUUUAUUCAUGGCUGCGUUCUGAGGCAAAAUUGCAAGUGGGCCCACUUUGCAACUAACUGCAACUCAUCUGAUCACUCUUCAUAACAUUCUGGAGAAUGCACAAUGCCAUCAUUAAAAAAUGUCAUUCUAAAAACUGUACAUGACCAAUACAGCCACAUGUACAUGAAUGAUGCCACUGAAUUACACGCCUCAUACCGUUUCUUUAAUAGUCUUUCUUUGGUCUUUCUUUAUUCUCAUAAAAUGAUUUCCUGCGUCUCUCCCAUUUUGUCAUUUCCUUGAGCCGGGUCAUGACAAAAUGUGGGCUCGUCCGCCUAAACAUUGUUGCACCAUAGCAAUGAAGAAAUGUUGUGGCUGAACGUGCUCACACUAUUUUAGAUUUCAGGCGUGUUCCAUCUUCAGCUGCGGAGGGAUUGAAAUUCAAUUAAACAUAAUAUGAGCAAACUUCUUCUGUAAACUCUAUUUGUCAGUAUUCUGCACUGGACUCCAGUGGGAUCUCAACACAGGCUUUGCUGCUCCUGUUUGGGAGCCUCAGUUUUGCAUUUUUGUCAUUCCUCAACACUGUGAUUCUCUUUCUAUUUUCGCAAACAAUGAUGUUCUAUGUUUUACAUUCCAGAUGGAUAUUAGUUUCUGGAUGAGCUGAAGGAGCUGAUCCCCUUUCUGUGUUUUCACGCGCUUUAGGCCUUCACUUCCACAGUGGUGGCACUGUGGCUAAAAUAACAUCAUUCAACUCUACUCGCUGAAAACCAUUCAUCCUGCUGACUUAGCGAGUAAAACACUGGGUUCAUUUAUAUCAUUUAUAGAAAACUGAUUCAUAUUGCACAUCCGUUACUAUGUGCAUAGUUCAAUAAACCAUCAACAAAAUGCCCUGAAGAUGAGACAGUUUGUAAUAACAACAACCGAACAGUAGAUGGUGCACAUGUACCCUUAAUCCGCAACAAAUAAGAGAGCUAGUGUUGAUGCUGAAACUGCUGGGAAGAGCAGCUUUCCCAGGUGUAUCUGACGGCAGCUGACAGACCCCGUUUAUUGUCCGGUGGUAUGUUGCGUAACUGAAUGGAGGGGGAUGAGUGAGGAGUCAAACGAGGUGUUGACCGACAGGCAGUGUCUCUCUGUGCCCCUCAACCGAAUUACCACCUGCUGCGACGGCACAAAGCCUCUCUGUGAUCCAAACUAAUGCAAUGUUUCAUCCUUUGCAGCGGCGUUUGUCCCUGAAAUAUCCUCCCAGUGUAUCAGCUUAUUACAGCUAUGGGUAGAAUCAUAGCCUUGGAGAUAAUGUUAGAUCAGACAUCACACUUCCCUGUUCCGCUAUGUUUUUUUUUUUUUUUUUUGUUGUUGUUGUUUUUUAUAAGCACGACUUAAUUCAGAAUACCCAGAAUACCUUUGCUCUUUAUAGCAGGUUGGGUAUCAUCUGUAGGGGGUCUGAGGCGCUUGUGAAUUACUUUCACAACAGGGAGGUUUUUGUUAGCUCUUUCUCCAAUGACUGUCACAUGGUACAAGAUGUCCUGUUUAGGACUAGAUAGAAUUACACACUUUUCCCAAUCUGUCUUUGGAGCUGACCCAAGUAUGUGUGUGUGUGUGUGGGAUUUUACAGUACACAUGGCACACAUUUCGUACAGCAUGUCCCCGCUUGCUGCUUGGACUGAUAAUCAAGCUGGCCGCUCUCCUGCUGCAAGUGUGAUCUAUCUUCAGAAGGCCUUUUUUUUUUUUUUUUUUUUUCCUUUGGAUCUGCCAAAGCAGUGAUUUAAUGACAUCCCUGUAACAAAAUGGAUAAACACAGCGAAGCGCGGUAAAAAUAGAGGCGGGCACGUGCGAGCGGGCAUAUAGACGGGCUUACCCGGUGCCUGCGAAUACACGCAUCACGAGUGGAGCAAGUGACAUAUCUGACUUAAUUAGCGGCUACAAACAAACGGAGUCUCCCCCGGGGGUACCGCACACACACAAACACAAACACAUGGCAGGUAGACUAGCACCUGUUACGUAACGGCGUGCAAGGCCUAAUAAUGACAAGUGGAUUUAAAUAAAAUAAAAAAUAAAGCCGUUACAACCAUCAAGACUAAAUGCAGUGCAUGCAGAAACUAUAGGAUUUAGAAGAAGUGGUUAUGUUAAUCCCUUUAUGCACAAAUGAGCGCAUACGCAGAAGGAUAUCCAUUUGGUUUCCAAUUAGAGCAAUUUGUUCUACUUGUCAGUGUGUCAGCUAUGUGGAGUAAUUUUGUUAAUAUGACAGACGGUCAGGGGAUUUUACAAUGCCUGGCUGCUCUGACACAUCUGUGUAAUAGAUUUGAAAGCGUACCUGACAAUUUGUCUCUCUAGUAAUCUAUACAGCCAGCAUGGUCGCAUUUCAUCAUUACUAUUAUUAUUUAUUUAUUUGUUUGUUUCUGUGCAACAUUUGAGACAUUUCCGCUGCUCGCCAGGUUGACGGUGUGUUGCUUUAAUUUAUCGUAACUCCAGCUGCUCUUGUGGAACUGGAGACGAUGAGCUGACAGGGGCAGAGCAACCCCCAGGAGUUCAUAAAGAAAAAAAAAAUAAUAAUAAUAAUGAAAAGGGCUGGAUUUUCCACACAGCAGAAUGCGAAUAUCUGAUUCGCCAGUGCCCUAAAUCUGAUUUUGUGGUGCUCUAAUCCAGCCGGUAUGUAUUAUGCAGCAUAAUGUCUCCGUUCAUAGUCAACCUUUGGUGAAAUACCAAAUAUGCUUAAAGUCCCUCUCUGAACAUUCCACACGUUCACUUUUCUAUUUCAACAAAGCAACAGUUCCAUGGCCUCAUUAUCUUUGUAUGUACCAGCAACAUAUUUUCUGACCAAGUGAUUUCAUUUUUACCUCAUCUUGAAUUUGCACUUACAUUCUGCACUAAAUCCGUUCUCAUUUUGCCAGAGAACUAUGAUUAUUUUUUAAAGAUUUACUGCCUCCUCCAGUAAUGGAGUUUCAGAUCACAGCUGAUCGUCCUGUUUACGUUUGCCUUGCCAGCGCCGCACUUGCUUGUUCAGCCUGUGUUUGGUUCCUGUUCUUUCUACUUUUAUCUUGGCUUGUCCUCACUGCUUUCCUCAUUGGAGCUGUGCAGUUUCCCCUAACAACUCACUCGCUCACGUGACCACUGGUGACAGAAACUUCACUGUCCAAAUGAGGAAAUUACUUGUUUUUGAGAAGUAAACAAAAUAAUGAGGAAACAAACAAAUACGCAAAGAAAGACGAGUUCCCGGAAUCCUACGGCAAAACAAAUCUUCACAUUAAAAGAUUUCUUUGAGGAGCUCUUUAAUCUGCAUGACACGACGUUUCCUUCAUGGCUAUGAUGGAGCGGGGCUAAAGACACGGAAGCGAGAUCGGGAGUCUUGGCAGCGGAGCAAAUGUUAUGAAGUCAUCCCCUAAAGCGGCCAACUUCCAUGCUGAGUGGGCCACUUCAUAUCUUUCAUAUAAAAACAUUUCAGACCAAAGUUUUCUGAGAGAAGGACAAGAACAGAACUUAGCGGAGGCCUGCUGGCAAUUACAAAAGCAAUUUUCAUAUUACAAAAGAGAGCAAUAAUCAACAGGGCUGGUCAUCAAGACUCCAGAGGAUGUUUCAGACUCAGUCCAGUAGAUUUGAAGAGGGAUUUGUGUGUAUACAAAAGCAAAGGUACAAACAAAUGUAAAACAAUGAUGUACAGUAUAUCAAUUAACACGCUUUGUUCUGUCUGAAUUGAGCAAGUGAGCAAACAGGUAGUGUUAAUUUAAAAGAGGCCGGCAAAAAUAAGCUGAAGCUUCGACCUGCACCUCCCAGUCAAUGCACAUCUGUUCUGUAAAUUCUACUUUAACAGAAA